UUGCUCUUUGUUAGCUUGCAAGAGUAAAUUAUUUACCUAACUAAUUAUGUUGUUGAGAGUUAAUUGCGAGUAACAUUUAUAUAUAGUGUUGUACCUUAUCUUUGUUGAUUAAUUACAAUUACAUAUUAAUAAGAUGGUAUUGUAUUCUCUGUCCAUUUUGUAAUAUGGUAUCAGUGCAAGAAAUAUAGGCUUUCUUAUACAAUCCAGUUAACCAGCCAACUGCGUCUGUCUUCUCUGACGAAGCUGCGUCACCUCUGAUCUUCCUCUGCUGCAGUCUUCUUCUUGUUGAAUCUCAAUUGCUUCCUCCUCGUUGAGAUUCUGCAAUGUCUACUGAUAACAACCAAACGAAGCAAGGGACUCAUGGAGAAGCCUCGAUUCAGACCAUUGUUGGUGAUCCACAAAAUUCUUCUCUUCAAAUCUCGACUUCAAAGAAUCCACCCUUCACCAUGGAGAGAAUCCAGGACAUACCUUGGUUUCUCAACCUCUCACGGGAUAAGACAACUAUGUGUCUUGGAGCAAGGCCAUGGAACUCGCCAUCUCAGUCGAGAACAAGAUUGGUUUCUUGGACAAUUCUAUCUCUAAACCCUCACCUUCUAAUCAAGUUCUUUAUAAUGCAUGGAUAUGAAAUAAUAACAUUGUUAUCUCUAGGAUUUUGAAUUCUGUUUCUAAAUAAAUUUCAUCUAGCAUUCUCUAUGAUGAAUUUGCCUCUGCCAUUUGGAAUGACCUUAAGGUUCGGUUCCACUAAAGAAAUGGCCCCCAUAUAUACAACCUGAGAAAAGAUCUUAUGAAUCUUAAACAAGAUAAUCAAACUGUUAGUAUGUACUUUACUAAGCUUAAAACUAUAUGGGAAGAAUUAACUAAUUUCAGACCAUCUUGCACUUGUAAUGGAUGCACAUGUUGUGGAGUUAAGAGACUCUAAGAUCACUAUCACAUGGAACAUAUUAUGUCAUUUCUGAUGGGACUUUCUGAUUCGUAUUCUCAAGUUUGUGGUAGCAUCCUCCUUAUGGAUCCUCGACCAGAAGUGAACCGUGUGUUUCAUCUUGCUACACAAGAAGAACACCAAAGAGGUAUUGUAUCUAACACCAAUAAUUCUAACUCAACUAUGGCUUUUUCCCUUCAAGGGAAUAAGAAUGUAGGACAAAAGAAUGAUAAUCAAAAUUCUAAGACUCAACCUCCCAAAAGGAACAUACCAUUUUGUACUCACUGUAACAUUCUCGGACACACAAUUGAGAGAUGUUACAAAAUACACGUGUAUCCACCUAGUUUCAACAAGAAUAAACCUAAAGAAGCCAAUGCAAAUCAUGUCCAAGCGACUGAUGAAAGUAGUAGCAGUCAACUAGAGAAUCAUGCACUCCUUCCACAACUGACCACAACUCAAUAUUAGUAAUUACUCAACAUGCUUGCAUCUCAGAAGUCUGGUAUGAAUAAUCAGAACCAAGCACCUCAUCAUGUAACACAAGUAUCAUUUUGUCCCAUAAUUCUGAAUCUCCUUUACAUAAUUCUUGGAUCAUGGAUUCUGGAGCAGCAAGACAUAUUUCCUCUAACAUGAGUAUUUUCCAAUGCAUAUGAGAAUGCCAACAAGAGGAUGAUUGGAAGAGGUAGCACUGUCAAUGGUCUCUACAUCCUUGAUACUGCACCAGAUCCUCCCCAAGUUCUAUCUAUCUUAGCAGAAACUUGGCAUUCUCGACUUGGACAUUUGUCCCACAAACGUUUAGAUCUUCUUAAAGAUACUUUGCAUUGUAAUACUUUUGUUUUGCAUAAAAAUAGACCUUGUUACAUUUGUUCUAUUACUAAACAAAAGAAGCUCCCCUUUCAAAUUAAUAACAAAUUGACAGACCACAUUUUUGAUCUUA